AUACGGAGGGUGCAAGCGUUGUUCGGAAUCACUGGGCGUAAAGGGCGCGCAGGCGGUUUGGUAAGUCAGAUGUGAAAGCCCACGGCUCAACCGUGGAAGUGCAUUUGAAACUGCCAGACUUGAGUACCAGAGGGGAAAGUGGAAUUCCCGGUGUAGAGGUGAAAUUCGUAGAUAUCGGGAGGAAUACCGGUGGCGAAGGCGACUUUCUGGCUGGAUUCUGACGCUGAGGCGCGAAAGCGUGGGGAGCAAACAGGAUUAGAAACCCCAGUAGUCC
rnacentral:rRNA from 1 species